UGCCAGCCGCCGCGGUAACACGGGGGGCGCAAGCGUUAUUCGGAAUUAUUGGGCGUAAAGGGCGCGCAGGCGGUCUUGUCCGUCAGAUGUGAAAGCCCCGGGCUCAACCCGGGAACUGCAUCCGAAACUGCACGACUAGAGUCCCGGAGGGGGUGGUGGAAUUCCUGGUGUAGAGGUGUAAUUCGUAGAUAUCAGGAGGAACACCUGUGGCGAAGGCGACCACCUGGACGGGCACUGACGCUGAGACGCGAAAGCGUGGGGAGCAAACAGGAUUAGAUA
rnacentral:rRNA from 1 species